UACGUAGGGGGCAAGCGUUGUCCGGAAUUAUUGGGCGUAAAGAGCGUGUAGGCGGUCCGGUAAGUCGGCUGUGAAAGUCCAGGACUCAACCCUGGGAUGCCGGUCGAUACUGCCGGACUAGAGUUCGGAAGAGGCGAGUGGAAUUCCCGGUGUAGCGGUGAAAUGCGCAGAUAUCGGGAGGAACACCUAUGGCGAAGGCAGCUCGCUGGGACGUUACUGACGCUGAGACGCGAAAGCGUGGGGAGCAAACAGG
rnacentral:rRNA from 1 species